AGAGUUUGAUCCUGGCUCAGAACGUACGCUGGCGGCACGCCUAACACAUGCAAGUCGAACGCAGUAGCAAUACUGAGUGGCAAACGGGUGAGUAUAAUGUGGGAAUCUGCCUUUUGGUUCGGAAUAACACGAGGAAACUUGUGCUAAUACCGGAUAAGCCUUUACAGGGAAAGUUUUAAUGCCAAAAGAUGAGCCCGCACUUGAUUAGCUAGUUGGUAAGGUAAUAGCUUACCAAGGCAACGAUCAAUAGCUGUUCUUAGAGGAAGACCAGCCACAUUGGGACUGAGACACGGCCCAAACUCCUACGGGAGGCAGCAGUGGGGAAUCUUGCACAAUGGGGGAAACCCUGAUGCAGCGAUGCCGCGUGAGUGAAGAAGGCCUUUGGGUUGUAAAACUCUUUCGUCGGGGAAGAAAAUGACUGUACCCGAAUAAGAAGGUCCGGCUAACUUCGUGCCAGCAGCCGCGGUAAUACGAAGGGACCUAGCGUAGUUCGGAAUUACUGGGCUUAAAGAGUUCGUAGGUGGUUAAAAUAGUUGAUGGUGAAAUCCCAAGGCUCAACCUUGGAACUGCCAUCAAAACUUUUUAGCUAGAGUAUGAUAGAGGAAAGUGGAAUUUCUAGUGUAGAGGUGAAAUUCGUAGAUAUUAGAAAGAACAUCAAAAGCGAAGGCAACUUUCUGGAUCAUUACUGACACUGAGGAACGAAAGCAUGGGUAGCGAAGAGGAUUAGAUACCCUCGUAGUCCAUGCCGUAAACGAUGUGUGCUAGACGUUGGAAACUUAGU
rnacentral:rRNA from 1 species